rnacentral:rRNA from 1 species
GCCAUAGCACCGUGAGAAUGCCCAUGUCGUUUUAUCUGAAAAGCUAAGCAGGGUUAGGCCUGGUUAGUACUUGGAUGUGAGACAGCUGGGAAUACCAGUUGC